rnacentral:rRNA from 2 species
UUUUAUGGAGAGUUUGAUCCUGGCUCAGGAUGAACGCUGGCGGCGUGCCUAAUACAUGCAAGUCGAGCGAACGGACGAGAAGCUUGCUUCUCUGAUGUUAGCGGCGGACGGGUGAGUAACACGUGGAUAACCUACCUAUAAGACUGGGAUAACUUCGGGAAACCGGAGCUAAUACCGGAUAAUAUUUUGAACCGCAUGGUUCAAAAGUGAAAGACGGUCUUGCUGUCACUUAUAGAUGGAUCCGCGCUGCAUUAGCUAGUUGGUAAG